rnacentral:lncRNA from 1 species
GUGUGAGAGAUCAUGAACCGAAAUGAUAUCGAGCUUCAGAAGAUCGAUGGAAAGGAGAACCUAGCCGACCUCUUCACUAAAGCUCUCGAGAUCAAAGAGUUUGAUUACUUCAAAUGAAAGAUGGGUAUAAAAUACUGCUCCGAUUGAUUUUAGUCCAAGUAAAAGUUAUUGGGAAGUAAGUCCUAAAAUCAAUCGUAUGACGAUUGAGUUCAUCUUUGUAUAUAAAU